rnacentral:rRNA from 1 species
AGGACAAACGCUGGCGGCGUGCAUAAAACAUGCAAGUCGGACGAGCCAAUCCCCGCAAGGGGAAAGGCUAGUGGCGAACGGCUGAGUAACACGUAGGUGAUCUGCCCUGAAGUGGGGGAUAACGACUCGAAAGAGUCGCUAAUACCGCAUGUGACCAUCGAUCCGUUUUCGAUGCUCAAAGUCGUAAGACGCUUUAGGAGGAGCCUGCGGCGGAUUAGCUAGUUGGUGAGGUAAUGGCCCACCAAGGCUUCGAUCCGUAGC